UACGUAGGUGGCAAGCGUUGUUCGGAAUUAUUGGGCGUAAAGGGCGCGUAGGCGGUCUUGUAAGUCAGCUGUGAAAGCCCCGGGCUCAACCUGGGAAUGGCAUUGGAAACUGGCGGGCUUGAGUGUGGCAGAGGGGGGUGGAAUUCCGCGUGUAGCAGUGAAAUGCGUAGAGAUGCGGAGGAACACCGAUGGCGAAGGCAGCCCCCUGGGCUGACACUGACGCUCAGGCACGAAAGCGUGGGGAGCAAACAGG
rnacentral:rRNA from 1 species